GAAACGACCCUACCUUAAUGACGGUCGAGUGUACAUUGACCAAUCAAAGCCAAGCUCAACCAACUGUGUCUCUUCUCUUUACUGAUAGACGUUACUCAGAGACAUACUACACUUGACCACUAAAUUGAAAAAUGCACCCUCUCUAUCACCCUGUUAAGUAGCUUGACCAAACAAGCUGUAGGCCUAAGUACAGAGGUCUCUCUCUCACUCCUCUCUUACUCCUCUCUCCAAUCUCACUCCCCUCUUUCAUGACAUCAUUUCCUUGGAAUAACACUCCCCUGAACACCAGUGCAUCCGUCUACGAGCAGAUAUACCCUCUCCUACACAGAGGAGGGGUAGAGAGAGAGUAAGUUGAGGGAGAGAAGUGGAAAGGGGGAGGCGAGGGAGAGGGGGGCUAUGAAAAUAUUGGUUUAGCUUUGCAUUCAUGCCCAGAAUUUCAGUGGUGAAGCUGAUUUCAGGUAAACCAAUGGAACCAAUGUGUGUGAUGUUUGCGUCUUUUGUGUGGGCGGUGUGUGUGUGUGUGUGUGUGCGUACUUGUAUGUGUAUGCUGUAUGUGUAUGGUGUAUGUGUCUUCUCUAUCCUCCAUACCUCCAGAUCAUCCCUUCCCUGCAGCUCUUCGACUGAGAAGUGCAUUCUAUGGUACCUGUGUGGGCGUCAUAGAAUACCACUCAAUCGCUUCUUUUUGUCUUUCAACACUCAUCCCCCUCUUUUUAGGCAGGAAUUCAGAGGAGACACUUCUUAACUCAAUACCAACCCAACAUUCAGCAGCCCUGCUGAGCUGGGCUGUUUCGUAAGGCUGUGUAGGUGUUCAUAUUCUGAUUGGUUGUUUAGCAAAGAGAAGAGACGCCCCCCCCCCCUCUCUCACUCACUCACACACGUAGAGAGUUUUACUAGCACACAGACACAUUUGAUUGAAUUGGUGCAUCACAGUCAUUAUAUGUUAGUCGUAUUUAGUGAACAAGAAGGAUUAUAUUUCUAUGGUGUAUUUACCCAAGAAUCACCCAAUAAUCCAUUUCCCUCCAACCCGUCUGAAAAGAUGCGUUGUCAAUGUGUUCAUUGCAAAUCUGUGUCACGUGCUACAUGUGAUUUUAUUGAGUCAUUUUUUGACAAUCACACAUGGCUCUGAGCUUAGUGAUGAGGUUGCCCGGGCAACAGGGAGGAUAUAGUCACAAUCAUCCAGGGUUCCGUUGGCUGUAUCAGGUUCUCAGUGAUAAUCUCUCUUUCUCUUUCUCUCCCUCUUGUGCUUUCACAUUCUAUCGCUUUCUCUCCCACUGCAGUGAAGACUACCAUUGAUGGCUCUUUCAGACAAAGGGAUGCAUUUUAAAGGAACAGGGAAAGGGGAAACCUAGUCAGUUGCACAACUGAAUGCAUUCAACCGAAAUGUGUCUUCCGUAUUUAAUCCAACCCCUCUGAAUCGGAGAGGUGAGGUGGCCUGCCUUAAUCGACGUCCAUGUCAUCGGCACCCGGGGAGCAGGUGGUGUUGCGGGGGUUAACUGCCUCGCUCAAGGGCAGAACGGCAGAUUUUUCCACCUUGCCGGCUCGAGGAUUCGAACCAUCAACCUUUCGGUUACUGUCCCAACGCUCUUAACCGCUAGGCUCCCUGCCGCCAGAAAGAAAGAAAUUGAGAGAGAAGGAACGGGAGAAUGUUUGUAGGUAGGGGGUAGAGAUUGAGAGAGAAGGAACGGGAGAAUGUUUGUAGGUAGUGGGUAGAGAUUGAGAGAGAAGGAACGGGAGAAUGUUUGUAGGUAGGGGGUAGAGAUUGAGAGAGAAGGAACGGGAGAAUGUUUGUAGGUAGGGGGUAGAGAUUGAGAGAGAAGGAACGGGAGAAUGUUUGUAGGUAGGGGGUAGAGAUUGAGAGAGAAGGAACGGGAGAAUGUUUGUAGGUAGGGGGUAGAGAUUGAGAGAGAAGGAACGGGAGAAUGUUUGUAGGUAGGGGGUAGAGAUUGAGAGAGAAGGAACGGGAGAAUGUUUGUAGGUAGGGGGUAGAGAUUGAGAGAGAAGGAACGGGAGAAUGUUUGUAGGUAGGGGGUAGAGAUUGAGAGAGAAGGAACGGGAGAAUGUUUGUAGGUAGGGGGUAGAGAUUGAGAGAGAAGGAACGGGAGAAUGUUUGUAGGUAGGGGGUAGAGAUUGAGAGAGAAGGAACGGGAGAAUGUUUGUAGGUAGGGGGUAGAGAUUGAGAGAGAAGGAACGGGAGAAUGUUUGUAGGUAGGGGGUAGAGAUUGAGAGAGAAGGAACGGCAGAAUGUUUGUAGGUAGGGGGUAGAGAUUGAGAUGCGUGAAGAGGAGACUACAGAAUGACAGUGAGCUACGCUGGACCAGGAAGAGAGAGAGGGAGAUGAAGAGAAAAUGAGAGUGGGAUUGAGAGACUGGAGAGGUAGAAAAGCAUCACUUGUAACCUGAGAGCCAGCUAUGCGAGAAGGAAAGGGUGGAGGAGGAGAGAAGGGUUCUAAAGGGGGUAGAAAGUAAGAGGGCCUUGGCCUUGAGUAUUUCCCUGACAGUGCUGAGCACUGCACCUCACAGGGUUGCUGCUGCUGUGUAAUGGGCAGGCUGGGCUUUCUCCUUUCAGGAAAGAGGGAGAGGGGAGGGAGAGGUAGAGUGA